GACACCAUUAAGACUUCAGAGACUGUUGAUAUUCACUCCAUGCAGAUUUAUUUGUUACAUUUUAAAAAAUAAAACAAGCUGCCUCAGACACAUCAACUGACCACCGGUGAUAGUCGAAUAGACAACUGAAUCUAAGUUUCAUACGACUCUCUUCUUAUACAGAGUUUUGGGCGGUGUCAGUUGGACACAUUCACGGCCACAGUUACCUCAUGUUAGUUACAUCUUUAGAUGGACCUGAACUGGUGAUAUUUUUACUUCUAACAGUCUUCUCAUCUUCCUUUUCUUAAGUACACCUAGGUCCUUGUGACCCAGACAAUAACUACUAACCUACAUGCUAGUCAACAGAUGAUU